GCUGAGUGGGGAGGAGAGAGGGACAGAGAGCCUGCUUCUUUAAAGGAGCAAAGCGGGAGAGGAGAGGAGCCGCUUACACAAGUGUAAGCGGCUCCUGUCCGGUUGGUUCCUUUAAAGCAAGCAGGCUCUCUGUCCCUCUCUCCUCCCCACUCAGC
rnacentral:miRNA from 1 species